CAUUUUUUCAGUAGGAAGUUAUACAGAAUUUAGUACUUACUUGAAAUACAAAGCCAAGUCAGUUGCUAUUAUUGCAACUUCAAAUAAGUGUAGAACAGUUUCAAACUGGCGCUUAUUUAGGUUCUGGAAGAUGUUUAAACUCUGCAAGAUGGAAAGUUUACGAAUUCAAUUCCUUUUAUAACACUGGCUUUGGUUUGUACUAUACAGGUUGUCUUAGAAUAGUAUAACAAAACUGGGCAACUACAGUCCCUAAAUUAAAAUGACGCCACAAACGAAAAGUUAUUCCAUCAGUAAAGAUGGCCCUUAUUCAUGGCUAAUAAAUGGCUAAUUAACUGUGUGGAGAGUAGAUGGAUCUCAGAUGUUGCCCUCAGAGGCUACACAAAUAAAUCCACAGUGACUCAAAACAGUUAUAAAUACUGCGAUUGCCACAUAUAAAUUAAAACCAAAGAAAACCACCUGCAUUCCACAUACUUAGUAAAGAAAUGGCAGUUCUUCAUCAUUUCUUUACAGUUCACAUUCCAUACACCUAAUUUUCCUAGACUUUUUAAAGCACAGUAGAGACUUUUUCCUCCAGUUCGUGGCUUGCAGUGCUACAGGGAGCUGCCAUGGUGAGUGCCAUGGCCUUUUCCUCAGGCAGAAGGAAUGAGAAUGUCACACUUGGCAUUUUUCUAAAUGUCCUGGAUUUCUUUCCUUUUUUCCCUGAGGGGACAGUCCCUGUGAGAGCACCUGGCGCAGGGAGGCCACUGUGAAGAGCUCCAGAGAUCCUGACACCCCUUCCAGCAAAGAGCAGGGCUUACUCCCUGCCAUCUCGCUUUUGAGAAAGUAUAUUGCCAUCAAUAAAGGACUGUGAGGCUUAUGAAGCUGACAUCUGUGGAGAGGGCUGGGAUACGUUGUGUGGCAUUUUACCUUGCCCAAUGCUUGGGAUCACGAGCCCUCUGGGAACUCCUGUGAUCACAGGGCCCCAGCUCCUGACCCCGGGACCAUGAGAUGGGUUAGCACCACAGCCAGCCUCGGGGAAGCAAGAAGGAACCGGUCAUGGGGACCUGGGGAGGUUCUGGCACCACCAGGCUUUCAGGAACAUUAGCAGG